rnacentral:rRNA from 1 species
UACGGAAGGCAGCAGUGGGGAAUAUUGCACAAUGGGCGCAAGCCUGAUGCAGCCAUGCCGCGUGUAUGAAAAAGGCCUUCGGGUUGUAAAGUACUUUCAGUCGUGAGGAAGGUGUUAAGGUUAAUAACCUUAGCAAUUGACGUUAGCGACAGAAGAAGCACCGGCUAACUCCGUGCCAGCAGCCGCGGUAAUACGGAGGGUGCGAGCGUUAAUCGGAAUUACUGGGCGUAAAGGGCACGCAGGCGGUUAAUUAAGUUGGAUGUGAAAUCCCCGGGCUUAACCUGGGAAUGGCAUUCAAGCUGGUUAGCUAGAGUCUUGUAGAGGGGGUAGAAUUCCGAUGUGUAGCGGUGAAAUGCGUAGAGAUGUGGAGGAAUACCGGUGGCGAAGGCGGCCCCUGGACAAAGACUGACGCUCAUGUGCGAAAGCGUGGGGAGCAAACGAGGGAUUAGAUACC